rnacentral:rRNA from 1 species
GAUGAACGCUGGCGGCGUGCCUAAUACAUGCAAGUCGAGCGAAUGGAUUAAGAGCUUGCUCUUAUGAAGUUAGCGGCGGACGGGUGAGUAACACGUGGGUAACCUGCCCAUAAGACUAGGAUAACUCCGGGAAACCGGGGCUAAUACCGGAUAACAUUUUGAACCGCAUGGUUCGAAAUUGAAAGGCGGCUUCGGCUGGCACUUAUGGCUGGACGCGCGUCGCAUUAGCUAGUUGGUGAGGUAACGGCUCACCAAGGCAACGAUGCGUAGCCGACCUGAGAGGGUGAUCGGCCACACUGGGACUGAGACACGGCCCAGACUCCUACGGGAGGCAGCAGUAGGGAAUCUUCCGCAAUGGACGAAAGUCUGACGGAGCAACGCCGCGUGAGUGAUGAAGGCUUUCGGGUCGUAAAACUCUGUUGUUAGGGAAGAACAAGUGCUAGUUGAAUAAGCUGGCACCUUGACGGUACCUAACCAGAAAGCCACGGCUAACUACGUGCCAGCCGCCGCGGUAA